GGCAAUACAUCACUGUUAAGGGAAUGAAUCUAAAGCAACUAGUACGCUAUCCAUUUCCAGCUUCCACUUAAUACGUCCAGGAUGUAGAACACGGUAACAUGCCUGAAAUCACGAAAUCAUGAUCUGAAACUAUGAUAUGAGCCCGUAAUUAGGAUAUGAUGAAAUUGAGAGAA
rnacentral:ribozyme from 1 species